rnacentral:rRNA from 1 species
GACGAACGCUGGCGGCGUGCCUAAUACAUGCCAGUAGAACGCUGAAGAGAGGAGCUUGCUCUUCUUGGAUGAGUUGCGAACGGGUGAGUAACGCGUAGGUAACCUGCCUGGUAGCGGGGGAUAACUAUUGGAAACGAUAGCUAAUACCGCAUAAAAUUGAUUAUUGCAUGAUAAUUAAUUGAAAGAUGCAACUGCAUCACUACCAGAUGGACCUGCGUUGUAUUAGCUAGUUGGUGAGGUAACGGCUCACCAAGGCGACGAUACAUAGCCGACCUGAGAGGGUGAUCGGCCACACUGGGACUGAGACACGGCCCAGACUCCUACGGGAGGCAGCAGUAGGGAAUCUUCGGCAAUGGGGGGAACCCUGACCGAGCAACGCCGCGUGAGUGAAGAAGGUUUUCGGAUCGUAAAGCUCUGUUGUAAGAGAAGAACGGGUGUGAGAGUGGAAAGUUCACACUGUGACGGUAUCUUACCAGAAAGGGACGGCUAACUACGUG